rnacentral:rRNA from 1 species
UCGCGGCCUAUCAGCUUGUUGGUGGGGUAAUGGCCUACCAAGGCGACGACGGGUAGCCGGCCUGAGAGGGCGACCGGCCACACUGGAACUGAGACACGGUCCAGACUCCUACGGGAGGCAGCAGUGGGGAAUAUUGCACAAUGGGCGAAAGCCUGAUGCAGCGACGCCGCGUGAGGGACGACGGCCUUCGGGUUGUAAACCUCUUUCAGCAGGGACGAAGCGAAAGUGACUGUACCUGCAGAAGAAGCACCGGCUAACUACGUGCCAGCAGCCGCGGUAAUACGUAGGGUGCAAGCGUUGUCCGGAUUUAUUGGGCGUAAAGAGCUCGUAGGCGGUUUGUCGCGUCGGAUGUGAAAACCUAUGGCUUAACCAUGGGCCUGCAUUCGAUACGGGCAAACUAGAGUUCGGUAGGGGAGACUGGAACUCCUGGUGUAGCGGUGAAAUGCGCAGAUAUCAGGAAGAACACCGGCGGCGAAGGCGGGUCUCUGGGCCGAUACUGACGCUGAGGAGCGAAAGCGUGGGGAGCAAACAGGAUUAGAUACCCUGGUAGUCCACGCCGUAAACGGUGGGCGCUAGGUGUGGGGAUCUUCCACGGUCUCCGUGCCGUAGCUAACGCAUUAAGCGCCCCGCCUGGGGAGUACGG